rnacentral:rRNA from 1 species
UACGGAGGGGGCUAGCGUUAUUCGGAAUUACUGGGCGCAAAGCGCACGUAGGCGGACUGGAGAGUCAGAGGUGAAAGCCCAGGGCUCAACCUUGGAACUGCGUUUGAAACUACAAGGCUAGAGUGUAGCAGAGGGGGGUGGAAUUCCACGUGUAGCAGUGAAAUGCGUAGAGAUGUGGAGGAACACCGAUGGCGAAGGCAGCCCCCUGGGUUAACACUGACGCUCAGGCACGAAAGCGUGGGGAGCAAACAGG